GGUGGUGCAUGGUUGUCGUCAGCUCGUGUCGUGAGAUGUUGGGUUAAGUCCCGCAACGAGCGCAACCCUCGACCUUAGUUGCCAGCAUUCAGUUGGGCACUCUAAGGUGACUGCCGGCUAAAAAGUCGGAGGAAGUGGGGAUGACGUCAAAUCAUCAUGCCCCUUAUGACCUGGGCUACACACGUGCUACAAUGGGCGGGUACAAAGGGUCGCGAACCCGCGAGGGGGGAGCCAAUCCCAAAAAGCCGCUCUCAGUUCGGAUUGUAGGCUGCAACUCGCCUACAUGAAGUCGGAAUCGCUAGUAAUCGCGGAUCAGCACGCCGCGGUGAAUACGGUUCCCGGGCCUU
rnacentral:rRNA from 1 species